rnacentral:rRNA from 1 species
AUUGAACGCUGGCGGCAGGCCUAACACAUGCAAGUCGAGCGAGCGGCGGACGGGUGAGUAAUGUCUGGGACACUGCCUGAUGGAGGGGGAUCACUACUGGAAACGGUAGCUAAUACCGCAUACCAUCGGAUGUGCCCAGCUGGGAUUAGCUAGUAGUUGGGGUUACGGCUCACCUAGGCGACGAUCCCUAGCUGGUCUGAGAGGAUGACCAGCAACGCUGGGACUGAGACACGGUCCAGAGUCCGACGGGAGGCAGCAGUGGGGAAUAUUGCACAAUGGGCGCAGGUCUGAUGCAGCCGUGCCGCGGUUAUUAAGAAGGCCUUUGGGUUGGAAAGUAAUUUCAGCGGGGAGGCGUUACCCGCAGAAGAAGCACCGGCUAACUCCGUGCCAGCCGCCGCGGUAAUAC